GUUGAGUUUUAUUCUUGCUUAGUUUGUUCAAUUUUUGUUUGUUUUAUAUGUAAGCUUUUGCGUGUAUUUUGUUUUAUACUCUUGAUGGGUUUAAAAGGAGGAAAUUGUUUAUUCUCAUUAGUUGUUAUUGGUUGGUCAAGUAUUCUUGUAUUUAGCAAUUCAUUUUAGUUUCGGUUAAAUUUUGUGCCAGCAGCCGCGGUUAUACCUUGGAAGCAUUUGAAUGUGUUCGGUGUUGUAGUUAUUAUGUGAGUAUUUGUUGAUUUUAUUUAAUUUGUUUAUUGGGUGAAAUUUUUAUUGUUGUUUAUGUCAUUUGUCUGUUUGGAGGCUAUGAAAUUCUUUUUAUAAACUAGGAUUAGAUACCCUAUUAUUUUAGAUCGUUAAAUUUUGUACCUGAGUAGUAUUAGUUAUGUUCUUGAAACUUAAAGAAUUUGGCGGUAUCUUAUUCCAUCCAGAGGAAUCUGUCUCGUUAUCGAUAGUCCACGUUGUACCUUACUUAGUUGCUUUGGUUUGUAUACCGCCGUUUAUUGAUUAUCUUUUUAGAGUUUGUUUAAUUCUCUUGUUUCUUUAUUUUGAUUUAUUUCAGGUCAAGGUGCAGCUUGUUUCUAAGUGGAAUGAUGGAUUACAUUGGUAUUUGUUUAUUUGGAUUGUUAAUUUUUAUAUUGGCAUGAAAUUGGAUUUGGUUGUAAUGUUUUGUAGAUUGUUUUCGUGAUAAUUGGUUCUGAGAUAUGUACACAUCGCCCGUCGCUCUCGUUUAUUUGUUAAUGAGAUAAGUCGUAACAAAGUGGUUGUACCGGAAGGUGCAGCUGGAUUGAC
rnacentral:ncRNA from 1 species